ACCAACAUGACACAUGCAUACCUAUGUAACAAACCUGAACGUUGUGCACAUCUAUCCUAGAACUUAAAGUACUAGGAGCAAAAAUUCAGUGGACUAUUAAGAGAAAAGAAAGAUAAGAAGAGAGAAGAAAGAACAAAUCCAUCUGAUGAAUUUCUCAUCCAUGUAAUACCUGCAUAUAGCUCACAACUAGACAUGCCAAGUCUGUUCCUGGAGCCUAUACUAAUUGACCCGAAUUUUAAAGGAUUUCUCUUCCUUGAAACCAAAUGAUUUCUGAACAAGAAAGUUAUUUAAUUUUAACUAAUUUUAAAUAGAAUAUAUGUUAAUUCUAAAUUAUCUUAAAUAUUUUCUAAAUUAACAUAAGUGUAAGAAAGUACAAAACAUAGCAUAAGUUGAUCACAUGGUCUUCUACAUCAUCUUCAAUCUUGUUUUUGAUGUGUUUGCACAGUGACUCUUUGAACUUUUUCAGUUAUUAGGGGGUAUUUUGUUUAAUAAACUUCUUGGAAGAAGAUGCUUCUACUGCCAACUUCCCCAUCCUAAUUCUCUCUGUCAUUCAUGGUGACUUGAAGGAGGAACACUUUACUUUUUCUUUUUUGUAAAAUUACAUGGCUUUUUGACCAAUUUUUACAGUUUUUAGGAAGUCAAUUAUAAACAAAAAUAUCAUAAAAAUCUUCACUUUAUUUAGUUCCCUGCCUUACAAAACAAGAGCAUAGUGUGAGCUUUUCACUGAGUGCUUUUCCAACAAUAGUGAGAAGCAGAUACAGAAACCAACUGAAAAAUGUUUUAUACUUUCUUACGACUUUCUGUCAUAAAACUAUAAAGGCAAACUUGAGAAGAUAUGACCGGAGAAUACAAUGACUUAAGAAAGAAAAUUUGAAAAUCAAUUGGCUCUAUGAGGUAACUUCUCUGAAUUCCAUAAUGUGGCAAUUUCUAAAAUGAAAACGUUUUUUCUUGUGUGCGCAAAUUUUAUUGAUUCUCUAAACUCCCAUAGCAGAAGCUAUAAAAGAGAACACAGAAAACCAAAAAGGUAUACAGCACAAAAUAUUAAUACAGUAAUUUAUUAUAUUUUUUAUUAUUCCUUCAGUACUCUAAGUACUUUUUAGGCAAUAUUUAAAUCUUAUAUCAUUGUGAGAAGGGCUACUGGGCUAGUCAUUAAAAUGUAAUAUUUAGUUAUGGACACUAUAAGAAAUCUUGGCUAAAAUUCUUCCAUAAUUUUAUAUUAAUUCAAUUGAACACGGUGUAUUGUCAAAGACUAUAUUGCCUCAAUAUUCUCUACCGGAAGAUAAAGUAAAAAGAGGGAAAUAAAUAAAUAAUAGAGUAUUGCUUCAUUUUGUGCAAAGAUUUUAUAUAAGUACCAAGGCCCGUGACUUGGUAACUGAAAUGAUAAUCUUUUUUUAUGACUAAUUUUCUAUAUCUACUAUCCAGUUAUCAUUAAGCAAGUGAUUCGUAAUCUUUUGGGAGUUGGAAAACAGAGCAUUUGAUAAACAACAGAUGAUCUUCUGAUAAGAAGACAAUUUAUGCAUUUAUAUACAACAUAAUAUAUCAAAUUUCAGGGAAUAAAGAAACUUCGAAACUUAACCCUGUAUUCUCCAAGCUUUUGAACUCUGUUCAGUACCUCAAUAAGUUUAGGCAGCCAUAAUUUCUUUUAUAUCCCCACAUUUCUUUUCAUGGUAAAACAUGAAUGUUUCCUAGGAUCCUGAUAAUGGAAACCUAUACACUUGACCCUUGAACAAUAUGGAUUUCAAUUGUGGGGGUCCACCUAUAUCUAGAUUUUCUCCCACCUCUGCCACCCCUGAGAUGGUAAAAGCCAACUCCUCCUCUGCCUCCUCCUUUUCAGCCUACUCAACAUAAAGACAAUGAGAAUGAAGACCUUUCUAAUGAUCCAUUUCCAUGUAAUGAAUAGUAAAUGUAUUUUCUCUUCAUAAUUUCCUUAAUACGAUUUUAUUUUAUCUAGCUUACUUUAUUGCAAGAAUAUAGUAUGUAGUACAUAUAAAGAAUAUGUGUUAAUCAACUAUUCAUCUUACCAGUAAAGCUUCUAGUAGGCUAGUAGUAGUUAAGUUUUUGUGGAAUCAAAAGUUAUAUGUGAAUUUUUGACUGCAUCAUGAGGGUCAGUACUCGUAAACUCCACAUUGUUUAAGGAUCAGCUGUAUUUCCGGAGUUUGAAUGGUAUUUAAUGUAUCAAAUACAUGGGCUUGUUUAUUUGUUUUUCUGUCUCACUCUUGAGGUAUAUGUCUCUAAACAGAAAAUAUUAGCUGUUGGGGAAGUAAAUCAAUGGCACAUAUUUCCUAUAAAGUAACAACUAUAAUUAGUUAACUAGAGAGUUACACAUAGCUAUUGGGAGAGCUAUGGCAAGAACCCUACUUGGUUAGAAAUAAUCUUGUAGAAAUUAGCUUUAAUUUAAGUCUGCAUAAUACCAUGUAAUUAAUAAAGGACUCUUAUACUCAGUUAAUUUAUUUAUUUGUUUUGGCUCUUGUAAAACAUGGUUAGGUAGUGAGACAUGUAUUAUCAUUGGCCUCAUUUUGUGAAAGAGAAAGGUAUGAAUCAUGAGGUUAAAUAACUCAUCCAAGGUGAUUCCAAAAUAAUCUUUAGGACAUGAACUUGAAUUCUCCUCUCUCAUAUCAGGCAAAAUAGGGUCAAUUUAAAUGAAUGAAUGAAUGAAUAAUGUGACAGCACUUUGAAUUUACUACAUAUCUUUUCUAAUUUCUUGAACGGCUAUUGUAGUGUCAUUCAUUCCUUGAUUCACCUGUAGGUAUUGAUUGGUUUUCUGGUCUUGUGGCCUGGUUCAGAUGCUGUUUGCACAGAGAACAGUCCCUGUUUGAUUACAGUUUAUGAUAAGCAGUGGGCUGUAGCAUCAUAUUGUUUGUCUGCUAUGACUCAUUUAAGGCCAACCUACCAGAAAAAUUGAUAUUUUUGCUAUGCAAACUAAGAUCUUAUAUGAGUUGUUUAAAAUAUAUAACCAUUUCAGAUGUGAUGAUACUUUGACUUGGAGCAAAGAUAAUGUACUUAUUAGGAAAUAUUGUGUAAAUAAUUUUUCUGUAAUGAUGAUUAAGUACACUGAUUUUCCCAUGUUCUCUCAUCAGUAGCUUAUGAGAGGGUUUUCCCUGUGAUUGACUUGCCGCAGAAUGAAGUCAGUCAGCUCAUUUAUGAAGGUGUAAAAAAAAUGGAAACACAUUGUGUUAAACUGGCUGGAACUUGUUCAACUGUCAAAAAUUUCUCAAGAACUAUCAUCUUGGACAGAAGGAUCAAUUAGUUAUUUCUCAGGUGUUGCAACCCAUUGAAAAUUUGGAACUGCUUAGGGGUCUUGUUUAGUGUUUUCAGAUCGGGAAGGGAAGCAGCAGCAACAAACUUGCUACUGAGAACCAGGGAGUAGAUUCACAUUCUAUCAAUUCUACAACUCCAGAACAAGUGUUGCAUAGACGAGGUUCUCGCUAAAGAUGCACAAAUCAAGUUCUAAGGCAGAUAUGAAUUAGGUUGAUAGAGUUCUGCUUUGCCAAUCAACUUCAAAGACUUGAAGAAUGAAGUCCAAAUUAAUUGAUAAGUUUUUCUUCUUUAAUGUACAAUACAUUGUCUACAUUGUCCUUCCAGCUUCACCUUGAAUUGAUGAAAAUUGAGAUUUUUUUCUUAACUUUUAAAAGUUUAGUGAGCUGCUGUUACUUACCUUUGUGUACAUGUAAGAAUAAAAUCUUAAGAAUCAAGAAUUAAGAAGCAAAAGUAUAUGCUUUUCACAAUUGAAUUAAAAUUAUUUGGGCCUAAAGCCAAGACAUUUUCUUAGACUUGUUUUAAGUGCCUUAACCACCUGGAAUUCUUUUUAAAGUACUGUCUAAUUCAUCUUUUUGAAAUGAUGGCUUUGCCUUUUCAUGAGAAAUCUACAUUUCUUUCUUAAAUAGGAAACAUAGUGUCCUUGGCUUAGUUCUCUAAAGACAUAGAAGUACACUUUUAUGUGUAGCAAAGACACAGCUUGUGGCAAAUUUAUUUCAGGCAUGUCAGACUGAAAAUCUGUUUCUACAACAAAACAGGCUUCCCUUGAGUUUACUAAGCCAUGUUCUUCAAGUAAAUGAGAUACUUUAUGGAUGUAUAACCUGAAUGUCCCUACCAAGGAGUUACUCUUUGGUUUAUUAUUCUAAGAGAACAAUCUGAACACUAAUCCCCACAGCUGCUAGAAGUCUUUGUCAUCCCUCACCCAUAUUCCUGAGAACAUGGGGUCCUGGUAGUCAUCAUGGUUUCUCUAUCUGGGUUCACCCAGGCUCAUCUGUUCUUUCCUUCUACCUAUUGCUAGAAUCUGCUUGGUUUUAUCCACAUUACUCCUAAGGUGAACAUACUCAUCCCCCUUUUAUUUUGCAAAGCACUAUUACUAAAAAUAUUUGUUAUAUAUAAAAGAACUUUACUGAAGUUUGAGGGGAACAGAGAGUUAUAGAACAAAACAUGAAAAAAUUUAAAUUGGUGAUCAGACCCUGUAUUCCUAUUCAACCAUCUGCUCCAUAAGGAGUCCAUUCCUAGCCAUCUGCCCACAGUCUAGUCCUGAAACCAGGCUGCUAGAAUCCAGGUUCUCCUAACUAACAAUAUUUUCCUAAUCUCUUCUCUUUUCCUGAGUUCCAGCUUACUGACCCUUGAUCCCAGUGGCCUUCAAAGAUACAUCUAAUGAGAAUGGUGCUACUUUCGUUUUAUGGCUGUCAAGAGGAAUGAAAUGCAUAUAUGUUACUCAGGCUCUCCUGAAACUCUUGAUACCAAGUGAUCCUCCCACCUCAGCCUCCCGAAGUACUGGCAUUACAGACAUGAAACCACCGUGCCUGGCCCUUUUCUUCUGAGGAGUAUAGUUCAUGCUGCUUGUCUACUGAGUCUAUGGAUGAGCUGAGCAAGUGUCAUCAGUGGAGAGGUAGAACCAACAGAAUAAAGAGAAAUCAAAGGUCUCUAUUAGAAUUAUAACAAAAUAAGGAAAAAUGUGGAAAUCAAUAUAGAGUUGGACAAGUCUGAUGCAUUCAGUAGAGGAAGAGUUUUUAUGCUACUUUCUUCUGGGUCACUAUUCUGAAUAAGAAGGAAAGACUUAACAACGAUGGAAGGAAGCACAGAGUGGCAGUUGCUGAUAAAGUCAUGAAGAAGUUCCAGAGCAUAGACAAGGCUAUCUUGAGUUUGAAUAAGACACAAUAAGACACACAGGGAGGUAUGGCUGAAAAGAUUUUUUUUAAACCAAACUAAACUUUGCUGUACCUAAGGUAAUACGCAGCCUUGGGAGUUUCUCAGAAAUUUGUUAAAAUUUAUUCACAAGUUAGGCUCAAUUCACUCAGAAUUGUGGUCUCAGUUUGCCGACACUCUCUUCCCUUCUCACGCCACAUUGCUCUUGCUUCAGUCUUCUUGUGCUGUGUAAUCACAACACAGCUGUA